ensembl:lncRNA
AAGAAAAGAUCAAAGGGAUCAGAGGAUGGCCAGUAGGUUUUUUAUUUAUUUUUAAUUGAAGGAUAAUUCUUUACAGUAUUGUGCUGGUGUCUGUCAUACAUCAACAUGAAUCAGCCAUAGCUAUACAUAUGUCCCCUGCCUCUUAAACCUCCCCCCACCUCCCACCCCAUCCCACCUCUCUAGGUUAUCACAGAGCCCCACUUUCAGUUCCCUGAGUCAUACAGCAAAUUCCCACUGGCUAUCUAUUUCACAUAUGUUAGUGAAUAUGUCUCCGUUCUACUCUCUCCAUUCACCCCACCCUCUCCACCAUCCCCAUCCCCAUGUGCCUAAGUCUGUUCUCUACAUCUGCAUCUCCACGGCUGCCCUGCAAGUAGGUUCAUCGGUACCGUCUUUCUAGAUUCCAUAUACAUGCAUUAAUAUACGAUAUUUGUCUUUCUGACUGACUUCACUCUGUAUAAUAGGCUCUAGGUUCGUCCAUCUCAUGAGCACUGACUCAAAUGUUUUCCUUUUUAUGACUGAGUAACAUUCCAUUGUGUAUAUGUACCACAGCUUCUUUACCCAUUCACCUGUCAAUGGACAUCUAGGUUGCUUCCAUGCCCUAGCUAUUGUAACUAGUGCUGCGGUAAACAUUGGAGUACAUGUAACUUUUUUCAAUUAUGACUUUCUCAGGGUACAUGCCUAUGUGGGAUUGUUGGGUCAUAUGGUAGUUUUAUUCCUAGUUUUUAAAGGCAUCUCCAGUGCAAGAAGUCUCCCUUUUCUCUACACCCUCUCCAGCAUUUAUUGUUUGUAGAUUUUUUGUGUAAGCUCAUUAGGUUUUAGGUAUGCUGGCACUCAAGAAUAAGAGAAGAACUUUCCAGUUACGAGCACCCAAGGACCAGAAGAGGAAGGAACACAUUUCAAAUGGAAUCUACCCAGUUGGAGACCAAAGAAGACUGUCCAAAUCUCUGUACUCAUCUUGGCUGUGGGGUCCUGCUCUCGGCUCUGCCUCCGUGUGUGUCUGCUUUGUGUCAGGCUGGCUUCCUCCAUGGCGGCGGGGUAGCCCUCAUCAUCAGCACUCAGAGCAAAGGCUGUCUUGUUC